rnacentral:rRNA from 2 species
AAUGAACGGCUGGCGGCAUGCCUAACACAUGCAAGUCGAACGAAGGCUUCGGCCUUAGUGGCGCACGGGUGCGUAACGCGUGGGAAUCUGCCCUCAGGUUCGGAAUAACAGCGAGAAAUUGCUGCUAAUACCGGAUGAUAUCGCGAGAUCAAAGAUUUAUCGCCUGAGGAUGAGCCCGCGUAGGAUUAGCUAGUUGGUGUGGUAAAGGCGCACCAAGGCGACGAUCCUUAGCUGGUCUGAGAGGAUGAUCAGCCACACUGGGACUGAGACACGGCCCAGACUCCUACGGGAGGCAGCAGUGGGGAAUAUUGGACAAUGGGCGAAAGCCUGAUCCAGCAAUGCCGCGUGAGUGAUGAAGGCCUUAGGGUUGUAAAGCUCUUUUACCCGGGAUGAUAAUGACAGUACCGGGAGAAUAAGCUCCGGCUAACUCCGUGCCAGCAGCCGCGGUAAUACGGAGGGAGCUAGCGUUAUUCGGAAUUACUGGGCGUAAAGCGCACGUAGGCGGCUUUGUAAGUUAGAGGUGAAAGCCUGGAGCUCAACUCCAGAAUUGCCUUUAAGACUGCAUCGCUUGAAUCCAGGAGAGGUGAGUGGAAUUCCGAGUGUAGAGGUGAAAUUCGUAGAUAUUCGGAAGAACACCAGUGGCGAAGGCGGCUCACUGGACUGGUAUGACGCUGA